UACGUAGGGGUCGAGCGUUGUCCGGAUUCAUUGGGCGUAAAGCGCUCGCAGGCGGCCGGCCGCGUCGCGCGUGAAGGCCCCCGGCUCAACCGGGGGUGGUCGCGCGAUACGGGUCGGCUGGAGGUAGGUAGGGGGACGCGGAAUUCCCGGUGUAGUGGUGGAAUGCGUAGAGAUCGGGAGGAACACCGGCGGCGAAGGCGGCGUCCUGGACCUGGCCUGACGCUCCGGAGCGAAAGCGUGGGGAGCCAUCCGG
rnacentral:rRNA from 1 species